AUGUAAGCUAUGAACUAUAUACAUUAUCUGAGACAAUCUUUAGGUGAAAAGAAUAACCAAAAUAUUGUGUAUACCACCACCAUGUAAGAAGAGAAGAUAGACAAGCAUUGCGUAUUACUAGUCAAUGUACAAAGCUAUAUAGCGAUGCACUUAUGCUUGUUACUAGCAAUAUACAGAGCAAUAUUUUUUCAGGCCUUCCAGUGAGCAGGUGCUACCAAUCGAUGGCGGCAACGAAAUUGGAAUGACGUGAAGAGAGUCCUCCCCGUUCUUAAUCAUCUGAUUUCUUAUGCCUUUCAUGUAUCUCUGGAUAUAGCGAGAGAAGUUACAUGAAACACAAAAGAGGGGAGCUAAAGAUUUUCAAAGUGGAGUAUGUUCUCCAAUGAUAUGUAGAAGGAAGACUUUGAUUUCAAGUUCUAGAUGAACCCAAGAAUCUUGGUGGAAGGCUC